UGCACACACCGCCCGUCAAGCCAUGGGAGCCGGAAAGACCUGAAGUCCGUAACCGCAAGGAGCGGCCUAGGGUAGAGCUGGUGACUGGGGCUAAGUCGUAACAAGGUAGCCGUACCGGAAGGUGCGGCUGGAACACCUCCUUUCU
rnacentral:rRNA from 1 species